UACAUGUUCCGCAAAAUUAUCAAGAGAAUUAUUGGAAGCAGGUUUUAGUCACAAAUAAAUUCAUUGAGAGUGCUUCUAGAGCAGGUA